CGCGGAGUGGAGCAGUUGGUAGCUCGUCGGGCUCAUAACCCGGAGGCCGUAGGUUCGAGUCCUGCCUCCGCAACCA
rnacentral:tRNA from 6 species